UACGUAGGGUGCGAGCGUUGUCCGGAAUUAUUGGGCGUAAAGAGCUUGUAGGCGGUUUGUCGCGUCUGCCGUGAAAAUCCGGGGCUCAACCCCGGACUUGCGGUGGGUACGGGCAGACUGGAGUGUGGUAGGGGAGACUGGAAUUCCUGGUGUAGCGGUGAAAUGCGCAGAUAUCAGGAGGAACACCGAUGGCGAAGGCAGGUCUCUGGGCCACUACUGACGCUGAGAAGCGAAAGCAUGGGGAGCGAACAGG
rnacentral:rRNA from 1 species